GACGAACGCUGGCGGCGUGCUUAACACAUGCAAGUCGAACGGUGAUCUUGAGAGCUUGCUCUUGAGUGAUCAGUGGCGAACGGGUGAGUAACACGUGAGGAACCUGCCCCAGACUCUGGAAUAACCCCGGGAAACCGGAGCUAAUACCGGAUAUGACAUCAGGCCGCAUGGUCAUGGUGUGGAAAGUUUUUCGGUCUGGGAUGGCCUCGCGGCCUAUCAGCUUGUUGGUGAGGUAGUGGCUCACCAAGGCGACGACGGGUAGCCGGCCUGAGAGGGCGACCGGCCACACUGGGACUGAGACACGGCCCAGACUCCUACGGGAGGCAGCAGUGGGGAAUAUUGCACAAUGGGCGCAAGCCUGAUGCAGCGACGCCGCGUGAGGGAUGAAGGCCUUCGGGUUGUAAACCUCUUUCAGCUCUGAAGAAGCGAAAGUGACGGUAGGAGCAGAAGAAGCACCGGCUAACUACGUGCCAGCCGCCGCGGUAAUAC
rnacentral:rRNA from 1 species